UCUAAAAUAAAAUUUAAUAAUAGAGAUUGAAGGGCCGCGGUAACUCUGACCGUGCUAAGGUAGCAUAAUCAAUCGCUCCUUAAUUGGGGGCUAGUAUGAAAGGAAUAACGAACUUCUCCCUGUCUCAAGUACAGGCCAGUUGAAAUUUAGUACUUCGUUAAGACGCGAAGAACCCUUGAUCAGACGAGAAGACCCCGUCGAGCUUUACUUUAAUCUAUUUUCAAACGUGUCUUAGUUUAAAGGCUAAAAAAAGAUAGGGAAAAAGUUUAGUUGGGGUGACUUCCCAAAACAUAGAAACUUGGGUGAACAAAGGUGUGAGUUAAAUCAACUAGCUUUACCGAGAAGAGGACAUUCUGUUCGGUCACUAAGAACCGUGAGUUUUAGCUACCCGUCUUUUAUGGAAAGACGACAUCGAAUAAAAGCUAC
rnacentral:rRNA from 1 species